UACGAAGGGGGCUAGCGUUGUUCGGAAUGACUGGGCGUAAAGGGCGCGUAGGCGGUUUUUUAAGUGAGACGUGAAAGCCCUGGGCUUAACCCAGGAGGUGCGUUUCAUACUGGAAAGCUUGAGUACGAGAGAGGAAAGCGGAAUUCCUAGUGUAGAGGUGAAAUUCGUAGAUAUGAGGAAGAACACCAGUGGCGAAGGCGGCUUUCUGGCUCGUAACUGACGCUGAGGCGCGAAAGCGUGGGGAGCAAACAGG
rnacentral:rRNA from 1 species